AACCGUGCGGCCUGCUAUACAUGCAGUCGAGCGAACGGACGAGAAGCUUGCUUCUCUGAUGUUAGCGGCGGACGGGUGAGUAACACGUGGAUAACCUACCUAUAAGACUGGGAUAACUUCGGGAAACCGGAGCUAAUACCGGAUAAUAUUUUGAACCGCAUGGUUCAAAAGUGAAAGACGGUCUUGCUGUCACUUAUAGAUGGAUCCGCGCUGCAUUAGCUAGUUGGUAAGGUAACGGCUUACCAAGGCAACGAUGCAUAGCCGACCUGAGAGGGUGAUCGGCCACACUGGAACUGAGACACGGUCCAGACUCCUACGGGAGGCAGCAGUAGGGAAUCUUCCGCAAUGGGCGAAAGCCUGACGGAGCAACGCCGCGUGAGUGAUGAAGGUCUUCGGAUCGUAAAACUCUGUUAUUAGGGAAGAACAUAUGUGUAAGUAACUGUGCACAUCUUGACGGUACCUAAUCAGAAAGCCACGGCUAACUACGUGCCAGCAGCCGCGGUAAUACGUAGGUGGCAAGCGUUAUCCGGAAUUAUUGGGCGUAAAGCGCGCGUAGGCGGUUUUUUAAGUCUGAUGUGAAAGCCCACGGCUCAACCGUGGAGGGUCAUUGGAAACUGGAAAACUUGAGUGCAGAAGAGGAAAGUGGAAUUCCAUGUGUAGCGGUGAAAUGCGCAGAGAUAUGGAGGAACACCAGUGGCGAAGGCGACUUUCUGGUCUGUAACUGACGCUGAUGUGCGAAAGCGUGGGGAUCAAACAGGAUUAGAUACCCUGGUAGUCCACGCCGUAAACGAUGAGUGCUAAGUGUUAGGGGGUUUCCGCCCCUUAGUGCUGCAGCUAACGCAUUAAGCACUCCGCCUGGGGAGUACGACCGCAAGGUUGAAACUCAAAGGAAUUGACGGGGACCCGCACAAGCGGUGGAGCAUGUGGUUUAAUUCGAAGCAACGCGAAGAACCUUACCAAAUCUUGACAUCCUUUGACAACUCUAGAGAUAGAGCCUUCCCCUUCGGGGGACAAAGUGACAGGUGGUGCAUGGUUGUCGUCAGCUCGUGUCGUGAGAUGUUGGGUUAAGUCCCGCAACGAGCGCAACCCUUAAGCUUAGUUGCCAUCAUUAAGUUGGGCACUCUAAGUUGACUGCCGGUGACAAACCGGAGGAAGGUGGGGAUGACGUCAAAUCAUCAUGCCCCUUAUGAUUUGGGCUACACACGUGCUACAAUGGACAAUACAAAGGGCAGCGAAACCGCGAGGUCAAGCAAAUCCCAUAAAGUUGUUCUCAGUUCGGAUUGUAGUCUGCAACUCGACUACAUGAAGCUGGAAUCGCUAGUAAUCGUAGAUCAGCAUGCUACGGUGAAUACGUUCCCGGGUCUUGUACACACCGCCCGUCACACCACGAGAGUUUGUAACACCCGAAGCCGGUGGAGUAACCUUUUAGGAGCUAGCCGUCGAAGGUGAACAAAAG
rnacentral:rRNA from 1 species